rnacentral:rRNA from 1 species
GUGGCGAACGGGUGAGUAAUGUAUCGGAACGUGCCCAGUAGCGGGGGAUAACUGGCCGAAAGGUCAGCUAAUACCGCAUACGCCCUACGGGGGAAAGGGGGGGACUCUUCGGAGCCUCUCACUAUUGGAGCGGCCGAUAUCGGAUUAGCUAGUUGGUGGGGUAAUGGCUCACCAAGGCAACGAUCCGUAGCUGGUUUGAGAGGACGACCAGCCACACUGGGACUGAGACACGGCCCAGACUCCUACGGGAGGCAGCAGUGGGGAAUUUUGGACAAUGGGGGAAACCCUGAUCCAGCCAUCCCGCGUGUGCGAUGAAGGCCUUCGGGUUGUAAAGCACUUUUGUCAGGGAAGAAAAGGUUCUGGCUAAUAUCCGGAACUGAUGACGGUACCUGAAGAAUAAGCACCGGCUAACUACGUGCCAGCAGCCGCGGUAAUACGUAGGGUGCAAGCGUUAAUCGGAAUUACUGGGCGUAAAGCGUGCGCAGGCGGUUCGGAAAGAAGGAUGUGAAAUCCCAGG